CGUAAGGGCUCGCAGGCGGUUUCUUAAGUCUGAUGUGAAAGCCCCCGGCUCAACCGGGGAGGGUCAUUGGAAACUGGGGAACUUGAGUGCAGAAGAGGAGAGUGGAAUUCCACGUGUAGCGGUGAAAUGCGUAGAGAUGUGGAGGAACACCAGUGGCGAAGGCGACUCUCUGGUCUGUAACUGACGCUGAGGAGCGAAAGCGUGGGGAGCGAACAGGAUUAGAUACCCUGGUAGUCCACGCCGUAAACGAUGAGUGCUAAGUGUUAGGGGGUUUCCGCCCCUUAGUGCUGCAGCUAACGCAUUAAGCACUCCGCCUGGGGAGUACGGUCGCAAGACUGAAACUCAAAGGAAUUGACGGGGGCCCGCACAAGCGGUGGAGCAUGUGGUUUAAUUCGAAGCAACGCGAAGAACCUUACCAGGUCUUGACAUCCUCUGACAAUCCUAGAGAUAGGACGUCCCCUUCGGGGGCAGAGUGACAGGUGGUGCAUGGUU
rnacentral:rRNA from 1 species